GACGAACGCUGGCGGCGUGCUUAACACAUGCAAGUCGAACGGAAAGGCCCUGCUUUUGUGGGGUGCUCGAGUGGCGAACGGGUGAGUAACACGUGAGUAACCUGCCCUUGACUUUGGGAUAACUUCAGGAAACUGGGGAUAAUACCGGAUAGGCGCUCCUGCUGCAUGGUGGGGGUAGGAAAGUUUCGGCGGUUGGGGAUGGACUCGCGGCUUAUCAGCUUGUUGGUGGGGUAGUGGCUUACCAAGGCGUUGACGGGUAGCCGGCCUGGGAGGGUGACCGGCCACAUUGGGACUGGGAUACGGCCCGGACUCCUACGGGAGGCAGCAGUGGGGAUUAUUGCACAAUGGGGGGAAGCCGAAUGCAGCAACGCCGCGGGCGGGAUAACGGCCUUCGGUUGGUAAACCGCUUUCGCCUGUAACGAAGCGUGAGUGACGGUAAUGAGUAAAGAAGCACCGGCUAACUACGUG
rnacentral:rRNA from 1 species